UACGGAGGGUGCAAGCGUUAUCCGGAUUUACUGGGCUUAAAGGGUGCGUAGGCGGGUUGGGAAGUCAGUGGUGAAAUACUUUCGCUUAACGAAGGAACUGCCAUUGAUACUAUCAAUCUUGAAUGUAGUGGAGGUAGGCGGAAUGCGUCAUGUAGCGGUGAAAUGCUUAGAUAUGACGCAGAACACCAAUGGCGAAGGCAGCUUGCUAGACUACUAUUGACACUGAGGCACGAAAGCGUGGGGAUCAAACAGG
rnacentral:rRNA from 1 species